rnacentral:rRNA from 1 species
GACGAACGCUGGCGGCGUGCUUAACACAUGCCAGUCGAACGGAAAGGCCCAGCUUGCUGGGUGCUCGAGUGGCGAACGGGUGAGUAACACGUGGGUGAUCUGCCCCUAACUUCGGGAUAAGCUUGGGAAACUGGGUCUAAUACCGGAUAGGACAAUCGUUUAGUGUCGGUUGUGGAAAGUUUUUUCGGUUAGGGAUGAGCCCGCGGCCUAUCAGCUUGUUGGUGGGGUAAUGGCCUACCAAGGCGUCGACGGGUAGCCGGCCUGAGAGGGUGGACGGCCACAUUGGGACUGAGAUACGGCCCAGACUCCUACGGGAGGCAGCAGUGGGGAAUAUUGCACAAUGGGCGCAAGCCUGAUGCAGCGACGCCGCGUGGGGGAUGACGGCCUUCGGGUUGUAAACCUCUUUCGACAGGGACGAAGCUUUGGUGACGGUACCUGUAGAAGAAGCACCGGCUAACUACGUG